rnacentral:rRNA from 1 species
CCCUUAGAUGUUCUGGGCCGCACGCGCGCUACACUGAUGCAUUCAACGAGUUUCUUCCUGGUCCGAGAGGAAUGGGUAACCUUUUGAAAGUGCAUCGUGAUAGGGAUAGACUAUUGCAAUUAUUGGUCUUCAACGAGGAGUUCCUAGUAGACGUAGUUCAUCAGACUGCAUCGAUUACGUCCCUGCCCUUUGUACACACCGCCCGUCGCUCCUACCGAUUGAAUGCUCAGGUGAGCCAUUCGGACCUUCAUCAUGCCGGUUUCCGGUUUUGAUGAGGGAAAGUCUUGCGAACCUUAUCAUUUAGAGGAAGGAGAAGUCGUAACA